GCAGAAAACCUCAUUGAUUUGGAAGUCGUCCAUCAGAAUGCCCUUCCCAGUUCCUGAGGACCUAAUAGAAAGAGCAGCACUUCUUCGAUGUGCACAGAAAUGCUGUAUAUGGUAAAGGACAAAGGGUUUUUAAGACACUUAGCUUUUUGGUCAUUGAAUCUAGAAGGAUACCUCAAAUAUCACCAACUCUACAACAGAUAGGUACGUGGCUAUGUGUUCAGGAAAUGAAUUACAAUAAACAUCCAUUCAGAAAUUUCAAACGGCUUUAUUGGAGCUUUUUAAUGUUAAUAACUGACGGUAUUGUUUUCUUUAGAUACACUCAACCCUGGACUUGGACAAGUGCUGUGUUUCAAAAUGCAGAAACGUCCCGGACACGCCACAUGCCCCCUUGUGAAACGAUGGAUGGAUUCCGUACCCAUGGGAGAAUCUCUGGUUGCUCUCUUGGAUCAGCAGUCCUACCCUCCCUUCAACUAACCGAGAGGGGACAUCAGCACCCAGGCUCUGUUCUAAGGCACAGGAGAGAGGGACCCAGGAGAACUCUCACUUUACAUGAAGGUACGACUCAGGAUAGCAUUCUCGGUGAUGCCUCUGAGGCUGAGUUGGGUGUCCCUCUUCUGUUCAUUCACUUCACUAUUACAGAUUAUUGUCACACUACUCAGCACAGUAGCUUAUUGUUGAUUUGCUUGUCUGAGAAAUGUAGGAAUUGA
rnacentral:lncRNA from 1 species